UUGUCGUCAGCUCGUGUCGUGAGAUGUUGGGUUAAGUCCGCAACGAGCGCAACCCCUAUUGUUAGUUGCCAUCAUUCAGUUGGGCACUCUAGCGAGACUGCCGGUAAUAAACCGGAGGAAGGUGGGGAUGACGUCAAAUCAUCAUGCCCCUUAUGACCUGGGCUACACACGUGCUACAAUGGUUGGUACAACGAGUUGCGAGUCGGUGACGGCGAGCUAAUCUCUUAAAGCCAAUCUCAGUUCGGAUUGUAGGCUGCAACUCGCCUACAUGAAGUCGGAAUCGCUAGUAAUCGCGGAUCAGCACGCCGCGGUGAAUACGUUCCCGGGCCUU
rnacentral:rRNA from 1 species